GGAAAGGUGAAAAGAACCCCGAACAGGGGAGUGAAAUAGAACCUGAAACCAUACGCUUACAACCGGUCGGAGCAGCUUCGUGCUGUGACGGCGUGCCUAUUGAAUAAUGAGCCUACGAGUUACUAAUCACUGGCGAGGUUAAGUGCACGGAUGCACGGAGCCGAAGCGAAAGCGAGUCUUAAUAGGGCGUUUAGUCAGUGGUUGUAGACGCGAAACCUUGCGAUCUACCCUUGAGCAGGUUGAAGGUUGGGUAAAACCAACUGGAGGACCGAACGAAUAAGCGUUGAAAAGCUUCUCGAUGACUUGAGGGUAGGGGUGAAAGGCUAAUCAAGCUGGGAAAUAGCUCGUACUCCCCGAAAUGCCUUUAGGGGCAGCGUUGUAAUAAAGAGUCUACUGGAGGUAGAGCUACUGAUUGGAUGCGGGGGCUUCACCGCCUACCAAAUCCUGACAAACUCCGAAUGCCAGUAGUAUGAUUUACAGCAGUGAGCGACCGGGUGCUAAUGUCCGGUUACGAGAGUGGAACAACACAGACCAGCAACUAAGGUCCCCAAGAGUAUACUAAGUUGAUCUAACGAUGUUUUGCUGCAGAGACAGCUAGGAUGUUAGCUUGGAAGCAGCUAUUCAUUCAAAGAGUGCGUAACAGCUCACUAGUCGAGCGGCAAAGCGUGGAUAAUAAACGGGCAUCAAGUAUACCACCGAAGUUCUGGGCACGAAAGUGCGGUAGGGGAGCAUUCCAUUCCGCGUUGAAGCCGAACCGUGAGGUUUGGUGGAGUGUAUGGAAAAGCAAAUGUAGGCAUGAGUAACGAUAAUGCGGGAGAGUAACCCGCACACCGCAAGACCAAGGUUUCCUGAUCAACGCUAAUCGGAUCAGGGUUAGUCGGGUCCUAAGGGUAAGCCGAACGGUGAUCUCGAUGGAUAAUCGGUUAAUAUUCCGAUACUGACAUAUACCUCGAUGGAGAGACGAAGGAACGUAAGUGCCGCCACCUGACGGAAUAGGUGGUUAAAGGGCUUAGGUAUAGGGGCAGAUUAAGAGUUAGUCCUUGCUGAAACCUGACAGUACAGAGAGCCUACGGGCAAUUUGAUAGUGCACCCAAGUCGACUUCCGAGAAAAUCUUCUAAGUUAUAGUAUAUGUCACCCGUACCGUAAACCGACACAGGUGGUCGAGGAGAGUAUCCUAAGGUGCUCGAGUGAAUCACGGUUAAGGAACUAGGCAAAUUAACCCCGUAACUUCGGGAAAAGGGGUCCCUAUGAAAGUAGGGCGCAGCGAAGAGGUCCAGGCGACUGUUUAUCAAAAACACAGGGCUCUGCAAAUUCGAAAGAAGACGUAUAGGGCCUGACACCUGCCCGGUGCUGGAAGGUUAAGAGGGGAUGUCAUCGCAAGAGAAGCAUUGAAUCGAAGCCCCAGUAAACGGCGGCCGUAACUAUAACGGUCCUAAGGUAGCGAAAUUCCUUGUCGGGUAAGUUCCGACCUGCACGAAUGGUGUAACGAUCUGGACACUGUCUCAACCGUGAGCUCGGUGAAAUUGUAGUCCCGGUGAUGAUGCCGGGUACCCGCAACGGGACGAAAAGACCCCGUGAACCUUUACUAUAGCUUAACGCUGAAUUUGGGUACACAAUGUGUAGGAUAGGCCGGAG
rnacentral:rRNA from 1 species